rnacentral:lncRNA from 1 species
CUCAAGUGCUGAGGUUGCCUCCAUGCAGCGGAGUACUGCAGCUCAAGAACUACUGGGAGUUAACACCCAAGCUAAGCUUCGUGAGGUGAGCCUUGACCAAGGGCUAAUUUCACCACCCUUCCCAAACUGGGGAGACAGCCAAGCAUUCUGUGGAUGGAGGGGUAAGCCCUGUGGCACUUGCAUUAAAUGCUGUGCUACUCCUCCAUUACACAGAUAAGGAAACUGAGGCUUAAGCCAGUAACUUGCCAUCUCUCAGGAGUCUGUUUUUAACAGACCAACUCACUCCCUCAAGUUACUCUGGUUCACAAAUGACCUUUGCUCUAUCUUUUGCAUUUGUGUGUGUGUGUGUGUAUUCAUCCCUGGGCUUAAACUCACUAUGUAGCUGACAAGAACCUUCAUCUUGAUCUUCCUACAGGUAUGUG